UGGAUCAAUGAUGGGUUUUUGGUGUGUGUAUGAGUCAUAUGCAAUGAAUACGUGUCUGAAACUCUGAGGUCCAA
ensembl:snoRNA